GAUGAAGAACGUAGCGAAAUGCGAUAAGUAGUGUGAAUUGCAGAAUUCAGUGAAUCAUCGAAUCUUUGAACGCACAUUGCGCCCUUUGGUAUUCCUUAGGGCAUGCCUGUUCGAGCGUCAUCUAAACCUUCAAGCCCUGCUUGGUGUUGGGUGCCUGUCCCGCCUCUGCGCGUGGACUCACCUCAAAUCCAUUGGCGGCCCCCGCGUCGGCCACGAGCGCAGCAGAAACGCGAACUUGUGAGCCCGUCCGGGCGGCUCCCAGAAGCUAACCCCCAAUUUUUGACCUCGGAUCAGGUAGGGAUACCCGCUGAACUUAAGCAUAUCAAUAAGCGGAGGA
rnacentral:misc_RNA from 1 species